GUAAUUUAGCCUUUUAAUCAGCUGUUUUGGGUCAAGGACACAUCUAAAACCUGCAGGACACCGGCUCUCAAGGCCUGGAGUUCGACACCUGUGAUCUAGGUGAUCUUUCAAGCAAUGAUGUUGAGGCCAGGGCCUAUUAUAUGCCACAGUCUAAAGGCAGCGGAGUUUCUGAGGCUGGAGUGACCACUCCUUGCAGGGUGGUGGGUCUCAGAGGACAACUGCUAACCCAGUUGGAGUUGAUGUGUGGAGUGCAACUGUCGUUGUGGCAUAGCUGGCUCUGGCCUUGGGACUGUGUUUUUACUUGAUUCGCAAAUGGGACACUGGACUAUUAUCUUUUGAGUAUUGUGUCAACUAUCUUUUAGAAUUGUAUUGACUGUCAUCUUUUUGCCCACGGCUGAGACGGUUGGUCAGACCUAGAGUCUUUUUGGGUGUGUUACAAUGACCAUUAUAGCUACCUUGCAUACAAAGAUACCAAAGGAUGUAACAUCCUGCUCCUCUGGGUGGGCAACAGUUGUGCUCCAUUUUCCAAUGGCUGGACAUUACCUCCUAAUCAGAGCUCUGUACAACUUCACUCAUUGCAGAAGCCUCAUGUGAUUCACAUGUACAAGUUGAUCUUAACCAAAUGGUAGUUAUUUCUUAACUGUUUUUGCUUACCUUGUUACAUUCUUGAACUUUGCCAUUUGUUUUUCUAUUGCCCCAAAUGGGUCAACAAAGAGAACCCUCAUCUUGUAGAUACACCGUCUUAAAGAAAAUUAAUGAAAAUUGUAUUAAACGUAGUCAUUUCA